GGAAUAUUGGACAAUGGGCGCAAGCCUGAUCCAGCCAUGCCGCGUGUGUGAAGAAGGCCUUCGGGUUGUAAAGCACUUUCAGUCGGGAGGAAGGGAUGUUGGUUAAUACCCAACAUCAUUUACGUUACCGACAGAAGAAGCACCGGCUAACUCCGUGCCAGCAGCCGCGGUAAUACGGAGGGUGCGAGCGUUAAUCGGAAUUACUGGGAGUAAAGCGCGCGUAGGCGGUUAGUGAAGCUGGAUGUGAAAGCCCCGGGCUCAACCUGGGAACUGCAUUCAGAACUGGCUGGCUAGAGUACGAGAGAGGGUAGUGGAAUUUCCUGUGUAGCGGUGAAAUGCGUAGAUAUAGGAAGGAACAUCAGUGGCGAAGGCGACUGCCUGGCUCGAUACUGACGCUGAGGUGCGAAAGCGUGGGGAGCAAAC
rnacentral:rRNA from 1 species